rnacentral:misc_RNA from 1 species
UCCGAGUUGACCCCGGCAGUCUUCGAUGAGUCCCCGGCAUAACCCGCUGGCAACAUCGAACGAGGGUUGCGCUCGUUGCGGGACUUAACCCAACAUCUCACGACACGAGCUGACGACAGCCAUGCAGCACCUGUGGGCAGGUCCCCGAAGGGAAGGAGCCCGUCUCCGGACACCGUCCUGCCAUGUCAAGGGCUGGUAAGGUUUUGCGCGUUGCAUCGAAUUAAUCCACAUCAUCCACCGCUUGUGCGGGUCCCCGUCAAUUCCUUUGAGUUUUAACCUUGCGGCCGUACUCCCCAGGCGGUCAACUUCACGCGUUAGCUACGGUACCCAGGAAUCGCUUCCCGAACACCCAGUUGACAUCGUUUAGGGCGUGGACUAC